AGGAAGGAAAGAGAUGCUAUCAUUUUGGUUAGUUACUAUUUUUUUUUUUUUUAAUUAACUACCUUUAGGAUAACAACUGCAAAUAUCUGGCAUAGACAAUUGCUUUUGUUAUUGGCAUCGUAACACUUUAAUUGACGCUCAUUUUGAUUUUUGCAAUAUUUCAUACUCUUCCAAUGUACAUAUUGUUGGUAUGUAUUGAUUUUUGCUUUGUGCACUUGAAGAACAGGAUAUAAUGCUGUUCCCUUCUGAAUGGAAACUGCUAGUUUGUUUGGUUUUUUAAACUCACCCUUUUUAAUGUAGGAACGUUUGUCACAUUAGUGUAGUUCUCUGAUUAGUACCAGGAAGUAGUUGAAAUGGGAUGUCUGGCCACAGGAAGAGCUGGAGUAGGUUCAGCUGAAAUCUCACUGCACCCGCUAGAUGGCGUUAACUCAUUAAGUGAAAGCUUCCUCCUGCCGCUCUGGCAGACUUAAUAUAGCUGAUCUGAGAGUUAAGUGGCGAGUUCUGUUGAGUGGUUGUGCCUUUCACAGAAGUGUUAUUUAUUCAACGUAAAAUACUUAAAUAAACUUCAGUAUUUUGUCAGGUGCACAUUAAGGCUGGCUCUCCCUUAGGCUUUCCCUGUUGUACAUCCUAUAUAAACUUACUGGGGGUUUUUCCUAGUUUAUUGAAAUAUCAUAAUUAUUUCUUGGUUUUCUGGGAGUGUUGGGGAACAAAUGAAACUGAGAAGCAGGCUGAAAGCAAGUAGAUUAUAUCAGAAUUAAUUUUAAGUAAUUUAGUUUUUAUUCAUAACCACUAGAUCAACAAGAAAGUAAAACAAACAUUCCAGUUCUCUGUCCUCCUCAGAGACAGUUCGCAGUGGUAGACUAAAGGUGGUCGGUCAUCUUCAGAGAUGUUUCAUGAGGGAAACUCAUUUUCAGUUUGAAGUUUUCCUUUUCUAUAGUUGUCUGUAGGGUCUAAAUAUCUGAGCCAUUUUUGUGUUUUCUUGCUGUUUUUAUAAGUUCUAAAGUUGCACUUUUUAAUGAUUAUUUUUUAUUUUUCAGAUUAUAAUUAGUCAUUUCUCCUUCCCUUACCUCCGUCAAACCACUCCCUUGAAUUUCCUUUCCCUCUGUCAAAUUCAUGGCCUUUUUCUAUAUAAUAAAAAGCUGAGAAGAAUCAGCUUUUGCCGUAAGAAUCAAAAUAACGAGCUUUAUAAGUGUAAUAGAAAGGUCUGUGUUUUGUUUUUUUUUUGGGUGGUUUUUUUUUUUUUUUUCCUUCGAGACAGGGUUUCUCUGUGUAGCCCUGGCUAUCCUGGAACUCGCUUUGUAGACCAGGCUGGCCUCAAACUCAGAAAUCUGCCUGCUUCUGCCUCCUGAGUGCUGGGAUUAAAGGCGUGUGCCACCAUACCCGGCAGGUCUGUGUUCCUGUUAAUCAAAUCAGAGUCUUCAAUGAGGGGUUUGCUUUUAUCAUAACCUUGGAUGAGAAAACCAAAUGUUGUCUCUUUUCAACCAGAAGUUUAAUACAUAAGAGGAAUAUUGUGACUGAUGCAGAUUGGUCUGGUCACACCUAUGGGUCUCUGUGGCAUGUUCUAAAAUGUAACUAGCUAGGGGGUGGGGAAGGUACUGGGUGAUGGUGAAGAUGAUAAAAAUGUGUUACAUAUGUGUGAAGUUCUCAAGGAAUUAAUAAAAUAGCAUACUGGAAAUUGAGCUGAAUAAUCUCAUUUCGGAAGCUUGCCCUAGAGAGCUGGGCUUGUGAGGAACAGGGUCGUGGGUGUUCAGCACUCUAGAUCACCCCGUGUGCUCGCUUGCCUGUUUUGCUUUGGUUUUGGUUUUAUAGACACUAAGUGGAAGCAAGAGUGUGAAUAAAUUGUGAGUGACUGUGGGCAUAUGUUUAUAGUGAAUUAGAGAAGGAGGGGAGAUUGUCUUUUCAGAAGGUAUUAACUGCUUUCCAAGCAGAUCUUAGAGGAUGUGUGCCUUAGUCUGAAGAAACAGUUAAGCAGAGAAAGCUACCCAGUCUUGGUAGAAUCUAGUAUGACACUGUUGCAAAAUGUAAAACUAUAACCAAGUACUUAUUCCUUUAAAAAAAAAGUUUUAUGUAGCUCAGGUCUGCCUUCAUAGGAUAUGUAUCUAAAAUUAACCUUGAAAUUUGAUCCUCCUGCCUCUACUUCUGAGUGCUGGGAUCACGGUGUAUGCCCAGUUGAUGGGGGUCUGCAGAAUGAACCCAGGCUUUCAUGUAUGGUAGGCAAGCACUUUGUUAACUGAGCUACAUUCACAAAUCCCAAAGUAUGUUUGUGCUACGCAAUCUAACAUAAAGGAGAAUGAGUUCUUGUUGGAUAAGAGGUCAAAUGAACACAGUUCUUUAAAAGCCAUUAAGGAAAAUCACAUAUUAUAUUCUCUUAUAAUUUCUAAUCAUAUUGUUUAAGAAAUACCAACACUCAGGUGGCCAGGUGGCUCAGCCAGUAGUGUUCUCGACACCAAACUUGAUGACCUGAGUUUAAUCCCAGGACUCGCACGGUAAGGAGAAAAUCAAGUCUUCCAAGUUGUCCUCUGCCCACUAGUCACACACUUUGUUCCAUUUCCAUGUGUGUGCUUGUACUCACACGAGUGCACACAUGCACACACUCAUAAUAAUUUUUUAAAAGAAAUAACAUACUUUAAGGAACAUAAUCUUAGAACAAUGGCUUCCUUCUGUUUCUGCCCCUUCUCACAAGUCUCAUUUCUUACCCCUUAAAAGUAAGAUGUUUUCCUUUGGUAAUAAGCACAGAUCUGUUUCUGGGUCCAAGAUACAACAGAGUGAUUCACCUUAUUAUGUAGAAGCACCAUCUAUGAUGUCAGAUCAUUUCUUAGAAAACUGUUGUAGUCAAGUGUGGUGGUGUACACCUGUAAUCCUAAUACUCGGGAGGCUAAGGCAAGACGAGCGUGAGUUCGAGGCCAGCCUAGUCUGCUUAGCCAGGCCCUGUUGUUCAUAAAUAAAUGAAUAGAGAGAACUUUGACUAUAAAGUUAUUCAGUGUGGUUUAGUUUUUAUGAAAGAAUAAACACUAAUAAUCCUUUUAGCUGUAUAUGUACCUGGAUUAAAAAGAAUCUACUGCCAGUGAGUGAUGCUUCACCCUUUAAUCCCAGUACUCAGAAGGCAGAGGCAGGCGAAUCCCUGAGCUCAGGUGACCGUGGUCUACAGAGUGAGUUCUGGAACAGGCAGAACUACACAGAAAAACCCUGUCUCAAACAAACAAAUGAACGAACAAAACAAAAGCCAAAAAAGGCCACAAAAAACAAAUUUAUUAAAACAUAAAAAUUGCAUAUGUGCCACAUGUGUUGUUUAGUACACCUGUACUUUGUAGAAUAUUCAAAUCAGGGCAUCAUAGCUGCUGCCUGAAGGAAACAUUUUUAAUUUCUUUAUGUUGAGAAUAAAAUCCUUUUCUACCUUUUGUGACAUUGUAUAGUUAGUUUCUUAACAAUGCCUAGCCUUGGCAUCUGAUGCUUCUCCAAUGAUAAUUUAGUAUACUUGUUCAAACUUGACCAUAUCCCAGAUAACCUCCCAGACUCUCAAUUUUUUCUUUUACAUCAACCAGAGCAAGAGAAGGGGGGAAAAUAUUUAUUCAUUGGUAUAUCUUUAAUUUUUUACUUUAUGACUCCACUAAUAAAAAGCAAAAAACAACUGUAAUUUGAAGCAAAGAUUCUGAAAUUACCACUUUUCUAAAAAUACAACUUAAGGCUGAAACCUAAUAUAUCGAAACAUUUUUGUUCUGGAAAUGGUACAUGUUUUCAUAAAGAUGUAUUUCUAAAUGGCUCAGAAAUAGGGAACCUUUCCAAAACAUGCUGUAGUUGCCUGGGUGAAGAAUAUUAGGUUGCAACAUGCAAAAAGGAAAUCCUGGUGUAGGAAACAGUUGAUAAAGAACACGUGUCUGCAGCACCUGACGAAGCCUUUGGCGUCCUCCGGUGCCCGCGUGUAGGAUUUUGCUAGUCUCUCUCAAGUGAAGUACCCUCUGCUCUGUGGCUGCUGGGAGGCUCAGCCCUCCAUUUUACUGCUGUUGUACAUAAUCUGUCGUUCUUAUUGCUAAUCUCCUCUAAGUCCUGCUUGUUAUUCCGGUGAGACUCCCAGCCUUUCUUCACUCUGCCCUUCGUGAGAGCAGUAUUGUAAUGGGUCACAGGCCAGCCAGCAGACAGUGUCUGACAAGACAAAGUCUGGUAUUUUUAAACUGUCCGUUUAUUUUUUUUUUAUUGCCACUAUUCUAUGGAUAUUGAAUAUCUCAACUUCUUAAUUUUAUAAGAGGUUUUCUUUUAGAAGCUAUGGGAGUGUGGGCUGUCAUCCUACUUUUAUUGAAGUUUUAUUGAAACUUAGACUAAAGUGAGGCCUGGUGGCAACUGCAUUCACAAAAGGUGAUGUGAAAGAAGGGAAUCCUGUUUGGC
rnacentral:lncRNA from 1 species